GGAGUUAGCCGGUGCUUCUUCUGUGAGUGAUGUCCUUCCUGCCGGUUAUUGACCCGCAGGCCUUCUUCCUCACUGAAAGUGCUUUACAACCCGAAGGCCUUCUUCACACACGCGGCAUGGCUGGAUCAGGGUUGCCCCCAUUGUCCAAUAUUCCCCACUGCUGCCUCCCGUAGGAGUCUGGGCCGUGUCUCAGUCCCAGUGUGGCUGAUCAUCCUCUCAGACCAGCUACGGAUCGUCGCCUUGGUGAGCCGUUACCUCACCAACCAGCUAAUCCGACAUAGGCUCAUCCGAUAGCGCGAGGCCCGAAGGUCCCCCGCUUUCCCCCGUAGGGCGUAUGCGGUAUUAGCCUGGGUUUCCCCAGGUUAUCCCCCACUACCGGGCAGAUUCCUAUGCAUUACUCACCCGUCCGCCGCUCGCCACCAGGGAGCAAGCUCCCCGUGCUGCCGCUCGACUUGCAUGUGUUAGGCCUGCCGCCACGCGUCAUCUGAGCAUAAUACAACUACUGA
rnacentral:rRNA from 1 species